CCUGUGCUGCUUCCGUGUGGCGCCACUUUAAGUUUUAGUUUCGCCCCAAAACAAAGUGAUAAAGUUUAAUUUGACUAACUAUGGACGUUAGUUUAUCUGAAGGUACCAGAGUUAGAAGAACUCAUGGAGAAUCUCCACACCGUGAAGACGCCACUUCUCUCCUCCCACCAUGAUCUCAGUAUCACAGAUGGAGAGAUGGCACCAGACUCUGCCAAAACUGUGAAGGUGAGGAUGCUGUGGAAGAGAGGAUCACUGUGAUGAGCAGAGGAGCUGACAAACAUCACUUAGACAGGUGAUAAUGCGGGAUCACACGUCUGGUGCUAAUGUGGAGGAGCUGCUGAGACAGUCUCAGAUGGAGCUGCAGUGGAUCCAGAGACAGCUGGCCAUGAUCGCUGCCAGAAACGUACACCAUCAUCACCUGCACAGCAAGGCCAAGUUAAGGUAUGAGGUUUCAUCCCAGCAAGCUACCGGCCACUCGGUCCAAACUGGGAACCGUUUUCGACUGCUGGAGGAGAGAAACCGAGCUCUGAAGCUUGAAGUCACCACGCUUCGCCAAGAAAAGCUGCAAUAUAGG